rnacentral:lncRNA from 1 species
AUGGAAAAAGCAAUAAACGCCUUUAUAUAAAAAUAGGUUGGUUUUAAUUUCAGAAGAAAAAUAAAAAUGCUUUAAACCCGGAUCUUUUUAAAGUCUCAAGUCAAAAUACGUCAAUAAAAAUCAUUGAAUCGACUCAAAUUUCACUAAAUAGCACGGAAAGCUAUUUUUAUUUUAUUUACAAGUAUAUUUGCAUCGCACUGUUGUAUAUUGUCGAUUUGAAAAUAUAUGUAAGAUAUACAUGGCUUAACAAGUGAUCACGCGCCACGCUCUAAAUGUCAUAACACACACAUGUUGCUACUUGUAGUGUUUAUACUGCCGAAAAAAGAUUCAUAGUGUACGGUGAUAGAGAAGUUGGAUAAACGUUAAGGGAUAUACAACAGUUAAGAGUGGAUAUGUACUUUUUCUUUUUUGAUAAUCAACAACAGUUAAAAAGAACAUGCCAACAAAAAUUAUGAACAACUUUAGUUUAUAAACAUUUGAGCAGUUGAGCGUGAAGACAUGGCAAAUACAACAAUGGCGGCAGCAACAACUUCCGGCGGAAUGAAUAUUGCGGGAGAUAUUCCUACGCUAGAGGCCAUGAACAAUGCGGAAGUUGAAAAACUUAUACCUACAAUUGUGUUCCUAAUGAUAGUGUGUGUCAUUGGAGUAGUUGGAAACAUUUUAGUUAUCCACGUGUACAGAACAAGGAUUUAAAAUGUCAAAUUCGAAAUGUUUCAUUUUGUGUCUAAGUGCGGUAGACUUGUUGACAUGCUGCAUUGCGAUUCCUCUAGAGGUAUCUACUAUACUUGAACAAUAUACAUUUGAACAUAUGUGGUUAUGUAAAACUUCUAGAGUGUUUAACACAUUGGGGACAAUAUCUUCUUCCUUCAUUUUGUUGUUUAUUGCAGUCGACAGAUUCAGAAAAGUGUGUAAACCAUUCGGCUGGCAAAUCAAAACGACUGUCGCAAAAUUGCUCUGCGGACUGGCUUUAUUUUGUGGAAUUAUGGUAUCAUGGCCCGCCAUCUUUAUUUAUGGUAAACAUACGUUCGAUAUCCCAGAAUACAAUAUGACCGGAACUGAAUGCUCAACAGCAGACGGGAUGAUUGAUACGAAAUUUCCGUUCUUUUACGCGCUUGUUUUUGGAUUUAUGUUCACCGCAGGUAUAAUUGCGAUGUCGAUUUUGUAUUGUUUCAUAGGUCACAAAGUUCGAAAGCAUACUCGUAAAAUGAAAGAAGUUUUGGGUAGGAAUAUGUCAAUACCUAUGACUGUCAUCAAUAAUAGAUACACGUGAUUCAAAAGUAGUCGGUGAAAUAGACGCUGAUGCUAUGGCAAAAUAUGACAUUGCUAACAACAAAAAUGAACAAAUACGGAAAAAGAGAAGCACCAAGAAAAAGAAACAAGAGACCGAUGACUCGUGGACUGACAAGAAAGAUUAUGAGCUGUCCUAUACGUUCAGUCAGGAAAGCCGGGAGAAAGAAAAGAGUCAAGAGAAUUUGAAUAACAUUGACGAGUUAGAAAAUGACUUUCACGAAAAGAAAGAGGACCAUAACUCUGAUUCGGAAGACAGUGGAAUUAAAACAAAGGAAGAAGCAGAAACAGACGAAAAAAACACAGAAAGAAAUUAAAAAUGGCGAUAUAGAGGUAAAGUACAGCAAAAAAGGUGAACUAUCGUUCCAGAAUGUGGAACCUGCAGAUAUUAAAGCGGAUGUGUCGCCAACAUCAAGUGAAGAAAUUUUACCGAAACAGAAAGGCGUUUUCCGUCAAGUAUCUUCAAUUAGCAAUCGGAUUUCUAACGCCUUUUUGCGAAUGGCUUCAGUAGCAAGUGUACGCUCUAGCUCCGACCCAGGGACGUUGAAACGGACACAGUUCCUUAAACAAGCGCGUGCAAGGAAAACAGCUUUUCUUAUGUUCGUUGUCACAUUAGGGUUCAUUCUUAGUUUUCUUCCACACCUUCUAUUAAUGCUAAUAAGACAGAUGACAAACUGAUUUUGUCGACGGAAUGUCAGACACAAACAAGGCGGUGUAUAAAUUCUUUCUGAGAUCUUACUUUUUGAAUAGUGCUAUAAACCCCUGUUAUAUACAGCAUCUGUGAUUCGCGAUUCAAGUCCGCUUGUAAAGAAAUAUUUGGACACUGUUUUGGUGGAAGUGGAUCACGCAACAUAAAAGUAUAGGUUGAUAAACUUGCUGGAAAAACAAGUCUUCCUUUGUUUUAAAAAAAUAUUAUGCUACUUAAUGCUGUUGUACAUAAAACUAAAGCUUUUAAGAAAUAAAUAAUUAUUUCAUCUUUGA